rfam:Zea mays cultivar B73 chromosome 7, whole genome shotgun sequence.
ACUCUAAUAUUGACUUCAAUCCACAUGUGUUGAGAUGGAUUAGUGUGUAAUUUAAACUAAUUUAUACCGCAAUUCAUCUCAACACAUGUGGAUUGAUGUCAAUACUAGA